rnacentral:rRNA from 1 species
UUGAAUGGCCGCGGUAUUUUGACCGUGCUAAGGUAGCAUAAUCAUUAGUUUUUUAAUUGAAAACUAGAAUGAAGGGUUGAAUGAAAAAAAAACUGUCUCUAUUUAAUUUUUUUAGAAUUUUAUUUUUUAGUUAAAAAGCUUAGAUAAUUUUAAAAGACGAGAAGACCCUAUAGAGUUUAAUAAAUAUUAUUUUAAUUAUUUUAUAUUUUAAUUUAAUUAUUUAUUUGAUUGGGGUGAUCGAAAAAUUAAAUAAACUUUUUUUAAAUUUUUAUAUUUAUAUAUAGUUAAUUGAUCCAAUAAAAUUGAUUAUAAGAUUAAAUUACCUUAGGGAUAACAGCGUAAUUUUAUUGGAGAGUU